rnacentral:misc_RNA from 1 species
UUUUUUAAAAAAAAAAAACAAAAAGCAAGGAGGGAUCAUUUUUAUAUGGAUGGAAUAUGCAAAGGACUUUCUCUCCUUGCCAAAAUUUGAGGAGCCAAAAAAUUAUGGAUUCAUAUUGAUGGGAUGGAAUUUCAAGUUCUUUUCAAAACCUUGGUGUGCUAGACUGUUGCAUAACUUCUGUAGGUUGUAAUAUUGUUUUUGAUUUAUCUGAUUUCUUUUUAUCUUCAAAAGCAGACUUGUAACAUUUUGUAGGUACAACU